rnacentral:lncRNA from 1 species
GUCCAUAGCUUUCCCCAGGGGUGUCUUUUCUCCAGGCUGCCUUCUCCCUAGCAGAUCUUCCCAGCCACACCUCUUCCCCCCUCUCCCAUGUCCUCAGGGCUGACACCGACUAAUCUUUCAAGGGACAGCUUAAACACACAGGCCUUCCCAGUUCCUCCAGCUGAGGCUCUCUCUCCUCCUUAGGGCCCCUGUGACACUUAUACCUCCCUGACCAUCUCAGGAGGGAUAGAUGAACCAGAAUCACUGUGUUGUGUUAAGAGCACAUGCUUUAGAGUUCAUAGCCCGGCUCUGUCUCUUGCUAACCAUGUAACAUUGUUAGUAAAUGAAGCUUACUAAGUUUGAGCUCCCCCAUUUGUGGAGUGUGUGUGACAUGCUUGGCAAGGUAGCAGUGAUCGACAAGAAUGCCUGGCACAAGGUGAGGGGUCAGUAAAUGACUGUUAUUACCGCUACGAACUAACUAAACUAAAAAUGAAAUACAUUAGUUGUUAUAUUUAUACAUGUUCAGGUCUCAUCUUAAGCCUUAUUCUGGAAGUUCCUUUAAGGCAGAGCUUUUGCUAACUCAUCUCUGUACCUUCUGAAGCACCUCACACAUCACCUCCAUUAACUAGAUCCUCAAGGGGUGCUUGUGGAUGGCAUCGAAGACUGAAUAAAUAGAAAUGUAACCAGUGGUACCACGUGCCUCUCUUAAGGCAAUCAUCUUGUCAUUUGACUCAGUCUGACCUUUGCAGUUAAACUAGUAACUGCAAAUUUUAGGCAUUUACAGGCAUGCCAGGGGAAGUUCAGAGCGUGCUGAUGAGCAGGUUGUAACCUGGGGGGUUGCCUACCUGGGUUAUACAGUGAACUAAUUGACUUCCAUGCCUUAUUUCCUCCCUUUAUUUGACUAACCUGAAUCUACCCAGCAGCCAACACAUGGAACAGAGCCCUGGAAAUGCAGCCCGGUUUCCUUCUUCAGGUCCCCUGGGAGCUUCAAUACAACAACCAUUAUUAACUGGCUGGAAACAAUUUAGCAUCUGGCUCCCAAGAGGGAGUAAUGUAUAGUAUAGGGAAAGGGGUGAAAGUACAUCCCAUCCUGUGGUUUAAACAAUAUUCUGGCUCUGAAAGGAACAAAUCUAAACAUAUUUUUCCAGGAAAACAUGGCUGUCAUCAUUUUUCUUGAAAGAGCCCAGUGUUUCUAGUCUUUUGAUAAGAGAGACUGGGUCUAAAAGGGAGAAGUCAUUGCACAGAACAGCUUCUGUCUGGAAGAAUUUUGAAGGAGACCUUCUUUUGAACUGGUUUUUCCCACCUCCUCCCCUUAGUAUGUACCCUCAGGCUCUCAGGUACCAUCCUGGGAACUUAGUCUUCUUUUCUCUCCGGGGCCGUGCAUGCUCUGGGGUGGCUGAGCCUGUAGUCUGACUCUUUCCAUUUCUCCUCUCUCCUCACUUUCACCCAGACUAAUCCGAGGGGCUCUCCUGUUGCCCAUUCUGUGAGGAAUCUAUGCUUUUUAAUUUUGUGUGUGUGUAUAUGUACGCUUUCUGUAUGAAAUAAGCUUUCAGAUCCAUUGGCUAAAUACUUAGGAGCACAAGUAGUGGGUUAUAUGAUAAGGCUACAUUCACUUUUGCAAGAAACUGCCAAAUUGUCUACCAAAGUAGCUACACCCUUUUGCAUUCCCACCAGCAGUGAAUGCGUUUCUAUUGCUCACCAUCCUUGCUAACAACUGGUCUGGUCAGUUUUUUGGAUUUUAGCCAUUGUAAUGUGUGUGGAGUGAGUGGUAUCCCGUUUUAAUUUACAGUUCCCUAAAGACAAAUGAUAUUGGGCCUCUUUUCAUCUGGUUAUUUGCUGUGUGUACAUUUCCUUUGGUGAGGUAUUCGUUUCAGAUCUUUUGCUCAUUUUUAAAUUGAGUUAUUUGUUUUCUUACUGGUGACUUUCAGGAGUACUUCAUGUAAUUUUGGAUACAAGUUCUUUAUCAGUUUGUGGCUUAUCUCUUGAUUUUCCUAACAGUGUUUUUUACAGGGCAAAAAUUUAAUUUCAGUAAAAUCCAACUUAUCCAUGUUUCAGUUCGUGGAUCAUGUUUUUUCAAAAUCUCACCACCAGAUCCAAAGCCAUGCAGAUUUUGUCCUAUUGUAGAAAUUUUAAAGUUUUGUCUUAUGAGACUAUCUUCCUACUUAAAAAAAAGUUUUGCAUUUUACAUUUAGGUCUUUGAUCAAUUUUGAGUUCUUUCUUAUUUAGGGUAUGAGGUCUGUCUAGGCCCAUUUAUUUUGUUUUGUCUUUUUGCAUUUGGUUCUCUAAUGAUGGAAGGAUCUGGGACCCAUCUGAUCCACCUUCGUUCAGUGUCUGCUUUGGAAACCAGAGAUGUUUUUAUGUAUCCAUCAUUUUCUUUCAAGUAAUUUUCCCCCAGCCUGCCAGGAAAGAGUUAAAACAAAAGCUAAAUUGAAUAAUCAUACCUAAAAAUUCACAUUGGUGCAUUUUCAUCAAAGUGGCACCAUAUUUAAGUAUUGUAUUGGCGGAAUGGUCUGCUUUCAGGGAAAAUUAUUUUCUACUGGUUUGUAGAUAUAAUUUAAAGAUUUUAAACCUCAGAAAAAAGAAUUAAGGCCCAAACUCACUUCAUCCAUUCUGAGCCUAAACGUUUCCGAGAGUUCUGAAAAAUAAAUAAAUAAAUAAAAGGUCUUCCCUCUGUACUGAAGAGGGAAAAGAUGGUUGCUCAGAAGUUGUCCUCAAGCUUCAUACAGAGCAGAAAGCCCAGGGAGUGUCACAUGUUUCAACUGUCAGGAUUCUGAAGGCUUUUCAAAAUAAGACAAAAAGAUAAAACAAGGUUGAGGUGAGAGAUAGUUUAAAUAAAGAAAAUAUAAUGCUCAGUAGGGAGAGCAGAAAGUCAGGAACCCACUGAAAGCAGGAGAGUAAACAUCCUCAGAAGGACUUAUUUAAGGAAGAGAAACCAAACAAACCACUGACGAUAUGGAAAUGCAUUCUUCUAGAGGAAAAGUCCUGUUUCAAAGAAAGACCAAGCUAUGCUACACUCUGCCUAUUGUCCUUAGAUGAAAAAGUGAAGUUGGAAUCCCAGAAAGAGGCAAUAUAUGACUUCUGCAGUGAUAGGAAUUAGUUUCCCUGGUACCACUAGUUCACUUAUCAGGCUGUACUCAUUCUUUGCUACUGAGAGCAAAAUUGUGCCAGUCUUGGUUUCUUAUGUCACCUGGGUCCAUGUGUACAAGAGGUCCCAAAUGUUUGUUCUUAGAAUUGUUAGACAGAAUUAAGGUUCUUGUGGCAGGAUUCAGGAAGGGAAGAUGUCCCUCCAAGUUCAUGUUUUAUUUUUAAAGAAACAAGUUGAGUAUCUUGCAGAUCAGUAUUGUUUACCUUCUGCCCUAUUGAUGAAGAACCUGAGAUUCGGGAAGGUAUUCUAUUUCAAAGGUCUGAUUUUUAUACCCCUCUUGCAUAUAUUGCUGCAAUAGGUUUAAAUAAAAUUGCUGCAACAGGUGUAAAUAUUGAAUAAAUCAAUAAAAAAAAUUGUGUGCAUGAAGGUCCCUAAAUCCAUGAGUGGUUACAUGGAUAUAAAAGUGUAUUCUAACUAAGUUAUAAUUACAAUCUAUGCAGAAAAAAAAUAAACUGAAAGGAAAUACACCAAAGGUUGACAGUGGUGUUCUCUGGGAGAUGGGAUUAUAGAAAAAUUUUUUUCUUUAUUCUCUUCUCUUCUCUGUUUUUCAACUUUUCUACAGUGUGUGUUAUGUUCUGAAUCAGAAAAAUAAGCAUUAGAAACUUGGAAAAAUGGAUUUUAUAUAGGAAUACAAUUGUACAUGACAAUUAUCUACCAAAAGUGGUUAAAGAUAACCAAAGGAGGCUGUUGAAUCAGUAAAAGCCAGUAUCUCCUAGGGGAAUAGACACAGACUCUUUUAAGGUACCCUUGUGAAGGUGUCCAGGUGGAGUAGGAGAGGGUUUCAUCCAGGAGUUUGAUUCGUUUGCUUAUAUGGCAGAGACAGAGUUUACGAUCCAAAGAAUGAAAGGCCAGGGAAGAGAGAGCCCCUAAGGAUGAGGAUGGUAUUGUAAGGUGUCUCUUCGUAAAAAUUAAGAUGCCGAGAGCUGCAAGACCUCACACCCUCCUCAGGUGCUCACAUCUGACUGAAUGUUCACAGUAAGUGUUACUGGAUAAAAUCCACAUUCCAUGCUAGCAUAAUGUGCGUUAACUCUCAUUCUUCCUUCUCAAAGCAAGCCUGCUUUUGUUUCAUGCCCAAAGUCAUCCAGUUGAGAGAUAAUAGAAGUCUCCCAGCUGUUAGUUCCACUCCUUGCCAUCACUGCAUGCUCUCUCUCUUUUAAGUUAUAAGGUUUGCUGUACGAAGGUUCUGUGCCUAAAAGCAAAUUCUAAAUUCCUAGAUGCCAUAUUUAGUCAUAAGUAUAGGUAGAGUAGGAUUGGGUGGUAUAAUCAAAGUAAGAAAGUGCAUUGAUCCAAAAAUCUCUUGUUCAUGUGUGAACCUAAACACCUGAGACUUUACCUUAGGAAAGAACUCAUUUCUUGGGCUAAAGCUCUGGGUUUCAUCACAGUCUUUGUAUUAAGACCAUAUAUCAGAAUGACUGGAUAAGUAGUAAGAGUCAUGGGGGUUUCAUCUGAGCCGUUUUAAGUCACUGAACAAGUAGUUCAAAGUCUUUGGGCUUCUGCUUUGUCAUCAGUAAAAAUUCUUAAAUACAGCUUAGUCAUCAGACUGUUCACUGUAUUUCUUGUCCAGCAUGACUGCUAAACAAGGAAGCAGCUUUGGAAGUUUUAAUGGGGGAAGAUUAAAAGGAGAGCUCUGGAGCCUGGGCCUUUCUGCAUUGGGUUUACACUGGGGUGAGGGGACAAAGAUUGAUGAGGGUAGCCCUGGGAGCUGGGGGGUCCAGAAGAGACAGGGGGGCCCCACAUGGAAAUGCAGAUCAGACCAUAUUUGUGUUGCACUUCUCACCAUGAGGACAACCAGGCUGUCUUUCUUGUCUUCCCCUGACCACCUAGCACAUAGUGUAACUUGACAAAUAUUUAUUCCUUUUGCUCCAAGUGAUUCUCUCCAUGAGAAAAUGUUAAAUCUGUUAGAUCAACUCAUAGCAAUUACACCUGGGGCCUGACCAUAGCAUUAGAGGAACGUGAGAGUCAAACCCAGGCUGCAUCCACUCCAGAAGUUAAGUUUUUUCUGAGAACACUCCUGAUUGACUUUCUGGAAGUAGCUGUUGUUCUUUAGGGCAGACCUUUCUUACCUUGUCCUUUUCUCAUCUACCCCAUAAGGGGAGUCUACACUCACAAGUACAUAUAGAAUGAUUCAGGCCCUUAGUGUUGCGUGAUCGCUGGGUUUUGCUGAGUUCCCAUUCUGUGGUGGAGCUAAAUUACCAGCAGCUUGAAGGGGUGAAAGAAGGGGCAUCCAGACCUGAGGUGAUGGAGAAGCUGGAUAAUUACGCGUCAAUUAAAUGAGCCACCUGGAUUAGCUGGACUCUCAAUAUUCUGAAGUUAAGAAGGUUUUCACCCAGAGAAUCAGAACCUCCCAAGAAACACAUGAUUAUCAGUUAUUGGUUUAGGCCAAGAGGGGGCCUAUUUCCUUCCUGCUGGAGCUGGGUUUGUAUAUUUAUAGAAGGUGCUCUAAAACAUGUGCCUUGCUUUAUAAGUUUAAUUCCCUGUGCCCUAAGAAGGGGAAAAAUAAACAAAACCCUCUACCACUAAAAGGAGGCUCAAAAAAAAAAAAAAAACCCAUAAAAAAAUUAAAAGGAGGCACAAGUACUGUUGGAUGUUACUAAAAAUGAAGCUGAUGGCAAGUGCAUCUGUUUGUUACAGUGUGGCAGAUAUGGUCAUUCGUUAAUAUUUCUCUUCUCCUGGUGAUUUUCCAUUAAUCUUGAUUAAAGGAAAUUUCUAGCUUGUGUGGUCAGCUUUCUAAAACUUGGAAGUUCAGACUUGGUAUACACUUUAAAAUUCAUCAAACCAUGAAGAAAAACUAUGCCUUUAGCAUUUAUCUUUUCUUAGGUGUUUGUUGUAAAGCUUUUUAAUGAUCACCCAUAAUUAUUAUUUUUAGUGUAGCUACGUGAAUAUAUGUAUAUCUCAAAGUUGUGUUUUAAUUGCAUGCGGUUUUGUAUACAAUUACAAAAUAUAAUAACUUUUUUUGUAGUACAUACCAAGAAUUUCCCUCUUUCAAUAAAUAUUCUUCUAAGACAUGUAUUUUAUGGCUGUGCAAUAUUUUAUUAUAUAGCUACAGCAUAAUGUACUUAACCGUUUAUUUAAUCCCACUCCCACUGGACUGUCUCCAUUUUUUUCACUUUUAUAGAUGAAGCCACCGUAACCAUCUUUGCGUAUAUUGCUUUUUUCCCUGGUUUAAAAGAAUAAUUUGAGGUUACCUCAAACUAUUUCACUAGGCAUGUGUGUGUGUGUGUGUGUGUGUGUGUGUGUGUGUGUGUGUGUGUGUAUGAACAGAUUUCCUGGUGGUGUUUGCCAACUGCCAUCUUCUUUUAUAUAUUCCAGAGAUGUUCACUGCUUGCCAGGAUGCUCCACCUUAUUCUCUCUGGGUAGCUUAGUAAACUAAGACUGGAGCCAAUGUGGUGGUACUGGGGGUGCUGUAACAAAUCUAUGAG